rnacentral:rRNA from 1 species
UCUCCACCCGAGACUCAGUGAAAUUGAACUCGCUGUGAAGAUGCAGUGUACCCGCGGCAAGACGGAAAGACCCCGUGAACCUUUACUAUAGCUUGACACUGAACAUUGAGCAUUGAUGUGUAGGAUAGGUGGGAGGCUUUGAAGUGUGGACGCCAGUCUGCAUGGAGCCGACCUUGAAAUACCACCCUUUAAUGUUUGAUGUUCUAACGU